rnacentral:lncRNA from 1 species
ACAAAUUGAGCAAGCAAAGGUGUGACACACAUUGUCACACCUACAUUAAUCAGAUCAUAUCUCAACAACCAAAAAUGCUAAAAAUGCAAAAUCAAUACCAAAAUGACUAUCAAGGUGUCUAAUUUAAGCAUGUCAAUUUUCACAUUCAUUGGAUCAACCAUCAUUAUUUCACAAAGAAAAUGGCAAGCAAGGUACAUGAUAGCAUAUGCAUACACAAACCCUAGGCAAAUUU